GACUAAGAUAAUGAUUAAAGAUAUGCAGGGAGGACUUAGAAGUAAUGGCGAAGGGCGUCGCUGAUUGGGGAAGGGUGUAAUCAGAGGACACAUGGAGAUGCAGUAAAAGAAGGUAAGUGAAGGUAAAAGGAGGAGAAUUUAAAUCUUAAAAGAAAGUUUUAGGUCAGAUAGAGUAAUGCAUGUGAGAUUAAUACUAAAUGGAGUGGACCACGGUGUUUUUUACCCGUUUGAAUUAAGCAUAUCAAUAAGCGGAGGAAAAGAAACCAACAGGGAUUGCCUCAGUAACGGCGAGUGAAGCGGCAAGAGCUCAAAUUUUAAAUCCGGCGUUUGCAACGUCCCGAGUUGUAAUUUGGAGAGGCAUCUUCGGGGACAGCGUCAGACCAAGUUCCUUGGAACAGGACGUCGCAGAGGGUGAGAAUCCCGUGACCGUCUGGCAGUCUGAUCCCUUGUGAAGUGCCUUCUACGAGUCGAGUUGUUUGGGAAUGCAGCUCCAAGUGGGUGGUAAAUUUCAUCUAAAGCUAAAUAUGGGCGAGAGACCGAUAGCGCACAAGUAGAGUGAUCGAAAGAUGAAAAGCACUUUGAAAAUAGAGUUAAAAAGUACGUGAAAUUGUUGAAAGGGAAGCGCUUGAGACCAGACCCGGCCCCAAACAAACAGCCUCCCCUGCUCCAGGGGGGUGCACUUGUAUUGAGGCUGGGCCAGCGUCGGUUGGGGUGGUGGGACAAAGGCGUAGGGAAUGUAGCUCCCCUCGAGGAGUGUUAUAGCCCUGCGCGUAAUGCCACCUACCUCGACUGAGGGCCGCGCCUCGGCGAGGAUGCUGGCACAAUGGUCUUCAGCGACCCGUCUUGAAACACGGACCAAGGAGUCUAACAUCCAUGCGAGUGUUUGGGUGUAAAGCCCUUGCGCGAAAUGAAAGUGAAUGCAGGUGGGACAACCCCUCUCAGGGGGCAUUGCACCAUCGACCGAUCCUGAUGUCCUCGGAUGGAUUUGAGUAGGAGCAUGGCUGUUGGGACCCGAAAGAUGGUGAACUAUGCCUGAAUAGGGUGAAGCCAGAGGAAACUCUGGUGGAGGCUCGCAGCGGUUCUGACGUGCAAAUCGAUCGUCAAAUUUGGUAUAGGGGCGAAAGACUAAUCGAACCAUCUAGUAGCUGGUUCCUGCCGAAGUUUCCCUUCAAGAUACAACCUCUCUGCGUAUAUCCUUUGUUGGCAUUAUAUUUCUCAUACAUUUCUCUAUGGUUAUGUAUAAUUGAGUUAUUUCAUAUUUUAUUUUUUUUGGGCAAUUUUGCUUAUUGGUCAUCUUUACCUCCCCAGCCUUGUAUCAAUUCUCAUCUCUUGCCCUCGUUCACCCCGUUUCCCUCCCAACUAUUGCGCC
rnacentral:rRNA from 1 species